rnacentral:rRNA from 1 species
UACGAAGGGUGCAAGCGUUACUCGGAAUUACUGGGCGUAAAGGGUGCGUAGGUGGUUGUUUAAGUCUGUUGUGAAAGCCCCGGGCUCAACCUGGGAAUGGCAAUGGAUACUGGACAGCUAGAGUGCGGUAGAGGGUAGUGGAAUUCCCGGUGUAGCAGUGAAAUGCGUAGAGAUCGGGAGGAACACCAGUGGCGAAGGCGGCUACCUGGACCAGCACUGACACUGAAGCACGAAAGCGUGGGGAGCAAACAGG